UACGUAGGGGGCUAGCGUUAUCCGGAAUUACUGGGCGUAAAGGGUGCGUAGGUGGUUUCUUAAGUCAGAGGUGAAAGGCUACGGCUCAACCGUAGUAAGCCUUUGAAACUGGGAAACUUGAGUGCAGGAGAGGAGAGUGGAAUUCCUAGUGUAGCGGUGAAAUGCGUAGAGAUAUGGAGGAACACCAGUGGCGAAGGCGGCUUCCUGGUCUGUAACUGACACUGAGGCGCGAAAGCGUGGGGAGCAAACAGGAUUAGAUACCCGUGUAGUCCCUGAG
rnacentral:rRNA from 1 species